CUAGAAUUGGAGGCAAGAAGGCCCUAGGUUCUGUGAGAACUGGAUAGAUUUAGCUAUCUCCUGAUUGUAACAAGGAAGGUACUUAGUUCUUCCUUUAUUGUGAAGAGUGAAAUAUAACCCACAAUCUAUUUUUAGAUGUUAAUCUACAAAAAGGUGAUAACUCAGUAUUUUAAGUAUAUCUACCCAUUUUAACUACAAAAAGGUGUUAAAUAACUACAAAAGGUGAACUAACCAAAUAAGGUGUUAAGUAACCCAAAAGUUAUAAUGUAACCAAAGAAGGGGUGAACUAAAGAGUGAGCAGUCCUGGAAAAAAGCAUCUGCUGUGAUUGGUAGACCUGAAAUUUAGGGGAGGUGACACAAGAGAAAAAGAUCUUUAAAAAGAGAACAAAAGGCCAGAAGAGAUAUUUGAUUCAAGAUUCGAGUUGGAUGGAGGAUUCUCUGACUCAGAGUUGGACUGGAGGAACUGGACCCCUGGAGGAACUUGUGCAGGAGACAUCAGUUCAGACUGAUUUUCCAUUUAGUCAGUCACCGUUGGUAUCCAUCCAGCCAAUGGGGGACGGAACAGAAGGUGCUAUUAUUGCAAUAAGUCUGAACAUGUAUAGAGGGACUGCUAUGAACUGCAGCAAAAGUAACAAAUCUACACAUCAGCUUUCCAAGGUGACAAGAUUCAUGUCGUCUCCCUCUUCUCUCCGGGAGCUAAGAAGCAACUCCACUGGGUUUGGUAUGUAUUUAUUUAUUUAUUUAACCCUUACCUUCUGUCUCAGAAUCAAUACUAUGUAUUGAUUCCAAGGCAGAAGAGUGGUAAGGGCUAGGCAAUGGGGGUCAAAUGACUUGCCCAGGGUCACACAGCUGGGAAGUGUCUAAGGUCAAAUUUGAACCCAGGAUCUCCUGUCUCUAGGUACGGCUCUCAAUCCACUGAGCCACCUAACUGCCCCCUUUUGCAUGUAUUUUGAUGUAGUUUCUUCAGGUAAUUAUUAUCUCGUUUGUUUUACAGAUGGAGGAACUGAGACAGGCUGAUUCCGAGAUUCACCGAGGGUCAUACAGCUACUGCCCAAGAUAGGAUACAAAGUUGGGACUCUUGACUUGAAGUCUAAGGCUUUUUCCUUAUCUCUUAAA
rnacentral:lncRNA from 1 species